rnacentral:rRNA from 1 species
AGGGCACCACCAGGAGUGGAGCCUGCGGCUUAAUUUGACUCAGCACGGGAAAACUCACCCGGCCCGGACACUGGAAGGAUUGACAGAUUGAGAGCUCUUUCUUGAUUCAGUGGGUGGUGGUGCAUGGCCGUUCUUAGUUGGUGGAGCGAUUUGUCUGGUUAAUUCCGAUAACGAACGAGACUCUAGCCUACUAAAUAGAUCGUCGGCUUACAAACGCCGAUGAGACUUCUUAGAGGGACAGGCGGCGAUUCAGCCGCACGAAACAGAGCAAUAACAGGUCUGUGAUGCCCUUAGAUGUCCGGGGCCGCACGCGCGCUACACUGAAGUGAUCAGCGUGCAUUUUCAGCCUACUCUGCCAAGAGUGGGAAACCCAAUGAACCUUCUUCGUGAUUGGGAUAGGGGAUUGUAAUUAUUCCCCUUGAACGAGGAAUUCCCAGUAAGCGCGAGUCAUAAGCUCGCGUUGAUUACGUCCCUGCCCUUUGUACACACCGCCCGUCGCUACUACCGAUAUAAUGUUUU